rnacentral:rRNA from 1 species
GACGAACGCUGGCGGCGUGCCUAAUACAUGCAAGUAGAACGCUGAAGGAGGAGCUUGCUCUUCUGGAUGAGUUGCGAACGGGUGAGUAACGCGUAGGUAACCUGCCUGGUAGCGGGGGAUAACUAUUGGAAACGAUAGCUAAUACCGCAUAACAGUAGAUGUUGCAUGACAUUUACUUAAAAGGUGCAAUUGCAUCACUACCAGAUGGACCUGCGUUGUAUUAGCUAGUUGGUGGGGUAACGGCUCACCAAGGCGACGAUACAUAGCCGACCUGAGAGGGUGAUCGGCCACACUGGGACUGAGACACGGCCCAGACUCCUACGGGAGGCAGCAGUAGGGAACCUUCGGCAAUGGACGGAAGUCUGACCGAGCAACGCCGCGUGAGUGAAGAAGGGUUUCGGAUCGUAAAGCUCUGUUGUAAGAGAAGAACGAGUGUGAGAGUGGAAAGUUCACACUGUGACGGUAUCUUACCAGAAAGGGACGGCUAACUACGUG